UGCCCUCCACAAUCCAAACUUCUUAGAAACAAGAGAUCUUUGGAGACAAAUCAAACAGGGUUUGUUCUUAAAGAACACUAUGACGCAUGAAAUUCUGAGAAACGUUAGGAGAAAAUUUUGAAUCUCUCCACUCCAACCAGAUGCAAAAGAUUAAGCUGUCUGUGUAGAUGUCUUGUUUAGAGGCUGAGUACACAUUGGCCGUUUCUCAAUUCCAAGAACGCAAAGAACGACUAGUGUUCUCGUGGAGACCGGUCUUGCGAGGCAGUCUCUGAAGAACAAACUUGGAUGGACGCGCCGCAGUGACUCGUGGGACUUCGAGUGGAUUCCGGAGGCGUGCCAGCCUUCAUUCCAUACAUUCUGAUAUCAAGAACACAUCUGGGUACUUUCAUGCGUUCUUUGUUCUUGAGUUUUGGAACCGGACUUAUUGAUGACGGUUAAUGAUGACGAAGAGCGAGAACACAAGACCGCUGAAGAACGCACAUUGAGCAACGGACAGUAUCUCUAUACGUAAUGCCUUAAAUCUAUUCUUCAAUUUUCAUUUUUUUUCUAUUUUAAGUGCAUCUCUUUGAUCUAUGUUUGCAGCACGUCUAAACUUUCUUCUGAACUAGAAGCUCCUGUCGUCAAGUCAAGUUCCUUGUGUGUGUUGACAUGAUUCUGAUUCAAAGACACUGAAAGUGUACAAUUCUUAUUUUCUGUUUAAAUGAAAAAUACUAUAGCACAACUGAAUAAAGGUCUUUUUUGUGUUAAGGGUUAGGGCGGAUGUAUGAGGCCAUUACAGGUGCACAUAACUGCUACAGUAAUAUUUGUCUAGCUACACUUCUCAAUUUCUAUUGUUCCUGGAGGUCACAUGGCUUUGAUUUAAUUCUGACAGAAACUUUGUGAAGAAAUGUUUGUCCUGCCUUUGAUGUGAAAGGUCAACGGUGUGAGACGGACAUGAUGACCAAGAGGUAAGACAACAGUUAACGACAUAACAAUCAGAAAAUGUCUGUCCAGGUUUUUCUUCUGGAUGCAGAAUACCAUCACAGUGAAAGAUGUGAUUUUCUUUUAGAUAAAUUCAACAAAAAACGAUAUCUGUAGAACACACACGAUUGAAUUUAUUGAAAGGACAGCCCCUUGAGAUAUAACUUCUCAUUAAGUUCACCAGAGAUAGUUUUGUCGAAUAUGACUGUGACUGCUGAUGCCUUUAUUGUCCACUAGAUGGAAAACUACAUACAAAUGAGGCACUUUCGCGCAUGCGCGGAACAAAUCGUGUUUCCGGGACGGAUCGGGUAGCGACACUGCGUGGUUUUUGCAGUGGUGUCUUGUGGGAAUGAACGUUUCGGUGCACCGGAAGGACUUUGCGAAUGAGUUCUCAUCGCUUUAAUAAUGAGUCUUUAAAAUGUCUGACUCCCUCAGCAGUGCCCUGGCUACUGAACAAGGGACCUGAUUGAGACACAGGGAGUGUUUUCUGCUACUCUAUAAUGUUGCGUUUGUUUUAUUAUUAUUAAUAUGAAUAUUUUGGCUGCUGUUGAUGGUGUCGUCCUAAUACUCGGAUUAUAAAUAUUACAUUUUUUUAAAUGCUUAACAAAUAACGAGUAGUCGUAACUAUAACCAAACAAUUUCUCAAUAAUCCUCGGAUAGUAUUUAUGACAAUUAAUUUCCCUCAUAAAUCCGGCAGGUGGCGCCACAUCCAUUCUGAUCAUGUCAUGUGUGCUUUGAUCUCUUGACACUAGAGGAAGCGAAAGCUUCAGUGAUUUUUCUAGGCCAGGAAUCUUGAAGCUGAAAUGAAACAUUUUUUGCCAUUGAAGAGACCAACACAUAUAUAUGUAUCGUAUAUUUGGUACAUUAUAUAUUAUAAUAUAUUGGCUUGUCACAUUCAUUUGUAUUUCCAUGUGCAAGUGUCUCGAUCAAGCAGGUGUAGAUGCUUUUUAUUUCAUUUUUUAUAUCUAAAAGACCAAUCAUUUCUGCUUUCUUCUAUUAUCGGAUGUGUUGUUUACAAUAUGAACAUUUAUAUCAGUGACUUGUAGUAUGUCAUAUUAAGAGUCACUGUUUUUAAAUAAGGAAAAUCCUCCCUUGCUGUGUCGUUUGUGUUUAUAGAUGAUUCUGUGUGUACUGUAUAUGUGUUUGUGGCCUAUAUUUUCAAUGAAUCACAAUUUGCGUGAGAAUUGUCUAAGAAUGAGCUUCAGAAUUUUCUCAAAAUAUAAAUGAAAAAUCCAUUGAUGAUGAAAAAUCUUAUUUUUCUUAUGAUCUUUUAAUCCGUAAAACCCUAUUGAACAAUUACUAUUCUCGUUCAUGAUAAAAUCAGAAAUUAUCUGAAAAUUUCUGUAACUCUUUCGGGGUUAGAGACAAACCACCAAGCAAACGAAUAACUCAUUUAUAGCUUUUAGUUGUAAUAUAAAUUCAAAUAGAUUGAAAUGAGCUGUUUGCUUUGGACAUCAUUUAGGCCCAACAUCACUGACUCCUUCAUGUGUUGAAACAGAGAAGCAGUGAAUUCUUCUUGAGAAUGUGAUGUGUAAUAAUGUCAUGUAUGAUCUCUCUUGAUUCACGCACGGCUCACGGUCCAGAGAUUGUGUAACGAGCGGAAUGUUUGGGAUUUUCUAAGAACUAUUCCAUUAUUCACAGUCACAUGAGAGGAGGUCAACUUCAUUCACGAGAAGAGGUCAAGGGUCGUUCACAGCGGCACGACAGAGGUGGAGUUACUGAAGACUGAAGGACAACGUCUACAGAAUAAAGCCAGCACUGUUCGCUUUCAAAGGGACUGAGCUCAACUUGUGUAGGAAAGAAAAUCACAAAGUGACAAGAAGCACGACUCACGACCUCACGGUCUGUCCCACAUCUCACAAUUCAUGAGCGUAAACACUUCACCUCAGAAGACAAUAACUCCAGAAGAGCUGAAAUACAAAGUUCAAGCAAAUGUUGAGAGAGGUUGAGACCGGAUCUGCGGGCAAAGAAAUUCUGAGCUUUGAUCUGAUCACAUGACAUUACAUUCAUUUUCUGCCUUCAAGAACUUUAACUCUAUUAUGAACCUUUUUUUAGGGAUUGUUGAUGGUUUUGUUGUGAAUGAAAUGUCUUUUUCACCUAUUUGCUGCCUUUGGUCACUUUUGUAGAAGACCUCAAUGAGCUUUAACCUGCUUCAAAAUGGUCAGUUAAGCAGAAUUAUUUUCUUGUGAAUAUUUUCUUAAUGUUGAACACUAUCAAUACUUUGGAGAUGUUGUUCACUGUUAGUGUAAGUUCCACCUGACUCGUUUAUGUCGCCGUGACUUCUGAGCGAUUAUAGAGCAACCCAUUAGACCCAUGAGCAAUAAAACCUUCCUCUGGAUGAAUGAAGGUUGGUGGUGUAACAGCGCUCAGAUCCGCUGACAAAGUCCAUCGAGUCACACAUCAGAAAUGAAGUGAGGUCAGCGUCUGACACAUGCUGCUGGUGUGGUGUGGCCUGACAGAUUUUUCUCUAAAUGCCCUAAAAGGAUUCUUCCAGAUUAGAUCCACAAGAUGACAGAACAUUCACUGUCUGUGAAGAAGGUUUGACUGAACCGACUGCAGGUCUAUUAGUGUCUGCGCGACGAUUCAUUGGAGAUGGUGGCGUUUUAUUGGCUGGUACAUCACAGCGCACGCGCUCCACUCUCAUCAGCGCCCCUCGAGGGAGAGCAGAUCUUCUGCCGCAUCGGUCCAUCGAUGAGCACUAACGCCCUAACUCUGUUGCCACCGCAGUGCAGCUCAUGGCAGCCGGAGGAGGAAGAGGGGGGCUGUCUGAUAUAUGGGAUCUCGUCUAUAAUCAGCAGGAUUUCCCUGCGCCCUGAGAUUCUUGAUUCAUUUGGAAAAGCUUUUAGUGAAAUAAGCAAAUUGAUGCAUUUUGACAGCCGCACAAAAUGUGUUCUCAUCGUUUUAAUAAACACAAUGUAGAGUCAGACUUUGACUAUCUCAACACACUACAUGUGCAGAAGCUGUUGUGGUGCUUGGGUGUGGUGAGUGGUUGCUAUGGUUGCCAAGAUGUUUUUCGGAAUGUUAUUCUGUGAUGAUGGUUGUGUUCUGGAUGGUCGACAGUAAGACAUCUAAUGCAGUGUUGUGUUUACUAUAUAUACACUUAAACAUAAAGAUGUUCUCUAUCAGUGGUGUGCUGCUGUUGUGUUGGAUGAGAUCAUUGAUCUGCAUUGACCACACAAUCCCUUGUCAGUUCCAGGUGAUCCAACCAAUGGUACAUAGGUAAAAACAUCAUUUUACAGAUUUUUCAUGUAUUUCUGAAAUACGUUCAAAAACAUCAAAUUACAGGACCAACCACGAAUUUACAAGAACAACAGUGAAAACGUGUCAAUUUACAGGGAAUACUUAUAUUUUAGUUUAAUUCU